rnacentral:misc_RNA from 1 species
UCGAGUUACCGCUCUACAACCCUUUGUGAACAUACCUAACUGUUGCUUCGGCGGGCAGGGGGUCCCCCCGGGGACGCCCUCCCGGCCCCGCCCCCCUACCAGGGGACGUGGCGCCCGCCGGAGGAUACCCAACUCUAUUUUAACGACGUUUCUUCUGAGUGGCCACAAGCAAAUAAUUA